UACGUAGGGUGUAAGCGUUAAUCGGAAUUACUGGGCGUAAAGCGUGCGCAGGCGGUUUUGUAAGUCUGUCGUGAAAUCCCCGGGCUUAACCUGGGAAUGGCGAUGGAGACUGCAAGGCUAGAGUUUGGCAGAGGGGGGUAGAAUUCCACGUGUAGCAGUGAAAUGCGUAGAGAUGUGGAGGAACACCGAUGGCGAAGGCAGCCCCCUGGGUCAAAACUGACGCUCAUGCACGAAAGCGUGGGGAGCAAACAGG
rnacentral:rRNA from 1 species